rnacentral:rRNA from 1 species
CUGAGCUCGAAAGUAUGGGUAGCAAACAGGAUUAGAUACCCUGGUAGUCCAUACCGUAAACGAUGAAUGCUAAGUGUUGGAGGUUUCCCCUUCAGUGCUGCAGCUAACGCAUUAAGCAUUCCGCUGGGGAGUACGGCCGCAAGGCUGAAACUCAAAGGAAUUGACGGGGGCCCGCACAAGCGGUGGAGCAUGUGGUUUAAUUCGAAGCUACGCGAAGAACCUUACCAGGUCUUGACAUACUAUGCAAAUCUAAGAGAUUAGACGUUCCCUUCGGGGACAUGGAUACAGGUGGUGCAUGGUUGUCGUCAGCUCGUGUCGUGAGAUGUUGGGUUAAGUCCCGCAACGAGCGCAACCCUUAUUAUCAGUUGCCAGCAUUAAGUUGGGCACUCUGGUGAGACUGCCGGUGACAAACCGGAGGAAGGUGGGGAUGACGUCAAAUCAUCAUGCCCCUUAUGACCUGGGCUACACACGUGCUACAAUGGAUGGUACAACGAGUUGCGAACUCGCGAGAGUAAGCUAAUCUCUUAAAGCCAUUCUCAGUUCGGAUUGUAGGCUGCAACUCGCCUACAUGAAGUCGGAAUCGCUAGUAAUCGCGGAUCAGCAUGCCGCGGUGAAUACGUUCCCGGGCCUUGUACACACCGCCCGUCACACCAUGAGAAUUUGUAACACCCAAAGUCGGUGGGGUAACCUUUAGGAACCAGCCGCCUAAGGUGGGACAGAUGAUUAGGGUGAAGUCGUAACAAGGUAAGCCGAA